rnacentral:tRNA from 1 species
GAGGGUAUACCUCAAUGAUAGAGAACAUGCUUAGCACGCACGAGGUCCUAGGUUCAAUCCCCAGUGCCUCCA